UAAUCGAUAUGCUAUCGUUACAUCCGCUUUAGGAUAAUACAACCAUUUUUAGUGCAAAAUCACUUUGAAAACAAAACAUCAAAUAAAUACAACUAUAGACAAUAAAACAAGAAUAUAAACCAAGAUUUCUAGCAAAAACAGGUCUCACCCAAACAACAAUUAAUCACAAAAAACACCAUAUAAACCCAAAACAAAACACAUGCUUUCUUUCUUCCUCCCUCUCCAUCUCUUUAUCUCUAUAUCUCAACUCAAACAUCUGCAAGUUUGAGACAAAAAUCAAAUCAGAAAUGUCCUACAAAAUAAUAAUACCAUAUCAAAAGCUAUAUAGGUUAGAAAUUCAGAUCUGCAAGUUUGAUUCCACCAUUGUCGAUACCGUCGCCACUUCCUUCAUUACUUUUUCACCCACGUUGGUGAGUUUGUAGACGUAGAUCUAGAUCUUGAUGUCAUCGUUACCGCCCUCACGGUUGU
rnacentral:lncRNA from 1 species